AUCUCGAUUCGAAAACGUAACGGAGGAAGUUGUCGGACUUUGUCCGAUAGAUUUCUUCGAUUCUUAAUUCUUAUUCGCUUAUUUUGAGCAAAACGUAAUUCGUUCUUGCGACGCUGUGUCUCAAGGAGAAUACCCAUUGACCAGAUUAUAGGUCGUAAACAUUGAAAGUUACGUGUCUCUUAACAAGUUCCAAACCAGGAGUACUACUAGGCAGCCGGUAUUUUCCGUGUUGUGCAACGCGUUGUUUGUCGUCCUCUGAAAUUAAUCUGCCUAAGUUGUCACCGUGUGGGAUCGACCAUUUCCGUCCCUUGACAUCAUCUUGUUGGACAGUUACAUUAAAACAUAGCAUUUAAUACAAUGUAAUCGGCUUUAUUUCGAAAUGAAUCAUCGACCGAUACACUUAUCAUCAAGGAUAUCGAGUACGAUAAUAGAACUACUGUCAUAUCGAUACGAUGGCAUCCACAAGCUUGAAAGGAAAGAAACUCGAAAGGAUUUCGUUUGUAAAUUUAGACUUCAAAGAACAGUCAUGUUAUCAAUUAAAGUUCCGAGAUCACGGUGUGCGUAACGAAAUUAAUCUCCCCUUAAUUAAUGGUGUUAAGGCGCAUCCAAGCGUAGAGGCAGUACGAGUUUCCUGAUUAAGACGGCGAUACGCAUUCUAAGAAGAGACAUCGAAAGAGCCGAGAAAGGAGAUAUGACCGGUAGGCUUUAUUGAAAUCUUGUACAAUUGAAACAGUAUAACAUACGCUGCGUGUAACCGACGUUAACUCGCGUAAAGUCAUAGUA